rnacentral:rRNA from 1 species
CAUGCAGUCGAGCGGACAGAUGGGAGCUUGCUCCCUGAUGUUAGCGGCGGACGGGUGAGUCACACGUGGGUAACCUGCCUGUAAGACUGGGAUAACUCCGGGAAACCGGGGCUAAUACCGGAUGCUUGAUUGAACCGCAUGGUUCAAUUAUAAAAGGUGGCUUUUAGCUACCACUUACAGAUGGACCCGCGGCGCAUUAGCUAGUUGGUGAGGUAACGGCUCACCAAGGCAACGAUGCGUAGCCGACCUGAGAGGGUGAUCGGCCACACUGGGACUGAGACACGGCCCAGACUCCUACGGGAGGCAGCAGUAGGGAAUCUUCCGCAAUGGACGAAAGUCUGACGGAGCAACGCCGCGUGAGUGAUGAAGGUUUUCGGAUCGUAAAACUCUGUUGUUAGGGAAGAACAAGUACCGUUCGAAUAGGGCGGUACCUUGACGGUACCUAACCAGAAAGCCACGGCUAACUACGUGCCAGCAGCCGCGGUAAUACGUAGGUGGCAAGCGUUGUCCGGAAUUAUUGGGCGUAAAGCGCGCGCAGGCGGUUUCUUAAGUCUGAUGUGAAAGCCCCCGGCUCAACCGGGGAGGGUCAUUGGAAACUGGGGGAACUUGAGUGCAGAAGAGGAGAGUGGAAUUCCACGUGUAGCGGUGAAAUGCGUAGAGAUGUGGAGGAACACCAGUGGCGAAGGCGACUCUCUGGUCUGUAACUGACGCUGAGGCGCGAAAGCGUGGGGGAGCGAACAGGAAUUAGAUACCCUCGGUAGUCCACGCCGUAAACGAAUGAGUGCUAAGUGUUAGAGAGUUUCCGCCCUUUAUUGGCUGCAGCAAACGCAUUAAGCACUCCGCCUGGGGAGUACGUCGCUAGACUGAAACUCAAA